CAGUGUUGAAUUGGGUUUUGCCAGGAAAUGGACAUUCCGUAAAAUUGUUCUAGCCGUCAUCUCAUGAUGUAAGUCACAUGGCCAUGCAGGACAAGUGAGGCUAACCCGGUGCUGUGUGUCUUCUACCUCAAAACUGGAACAAAACGGGGGGAAUAUGUUCUUUGCAGCUCUGCAGACUCGUGUGACUUUUUAGAGCCCACAGGAGGCCUGAGGGCCUGAAGGCAAACGGAGGGAUCGGGUGUGUGUAGAAAUAGGGAGUCGCUCUGCUGUGUAACAGGCACUAAAACAGUGCAGAUGGUCAGUUCUAUUCCAAACACCCACUCGUAGAAAAUGAGAUGGGGGAGUUUCCCCUCGUGGCUCCGUGAUAAGGAACCUGACUGGGAUCUGUGAGGAUGUGGGUUUGAUCCCUGGCCUCACUCAGGGGGUUAAGGAUCUGGCGUUGCCGAGAGCUGUGGUGUAGGUCACACAUGUGGUGGGAUCUGGGGUGGCUGUGGUGUAGCCUGGCAGCUGUGACUUUGAUUUGACCCCUCGUCUGGCAACCUCCAUUUGCCGCAGGUUUGGCUNAAAAAAAAAAAAAAAAAAAAAAAAGAAAAAAGAAAGGUAACAGCUUUCAAGUAUGAAAUAAACUAGUCCUGGGCAAAAUGUACAUGAUCAAUGCCAUUAACACCCACACACAUGGCACACCGAAUUAGGAAAACCACAGAAUUAAACCCAGACACCUAAGGCCAAUGUGUUUGACAAACGAGGCAAGAACAUAAAAUGGGAAAAAGACAGGCUUUUCAGCAAACACUGUUGGGAAACCGGGACAGCUACGUGUAAAUCAAUGAAACUAGAACCCACCCUCACCCCACGCACAAGAAACUCAACAUGGAUGAAACACUUAAAUAUAAGACAAGACGUCCACAAAUAGCAAGUGCUGGAGGGGGUGUGGAGAAAAGGGACCCCUCCUGCACUGCUGGUGGGAAUGGAAGCUGGUACAACCACUGUGGAGAACAAGAGUAUGGAGGUACCUUAGAAAACUAUACAUAGAACUACCAUAUGACCCAGCAGUCCCCCUCUUGGGCAUGUAUCUGGACAAAAAUGUCCUUGAAAAAGACACAUGCACCCGCAUGUUCAUUGCAGCUCUAUUCCCAAUAGCCAAGACAUGCAAACAACCCAAAUGUCCAUCAACACACGAUUGGAUUAGGAAGAUGUGGUAUAUAUACUCAAUGGAAUACUACUCAGCCAUCAAAAUGAACACAACAAUGCCAUUUGCAGCAACAUGGAUGGAACUAGAGACUCUCAUCCAGAGUGAAGUCAGGACAAAUACCAUGUCACAUAUCUGAUAUCAAGUAUAUGGCACAAUUGGACCUUUCCACAGACAAGAAAAUCAUGGACUUGGAGAACAGACUUGUGGUUGCCCAGUGGGGUGUUUGGGGAGCUUGGGGUUCUUGGAUGCAAACUAUUGCCUUUGGAAUGGAUGAGCAAUGAGGUCCUGCUGUGGAGCACUGAGAACUAUGCCUCGUCACUUAUGACGGAGCCUGAGCAUGGGAGAAAUGAGAAUGGGCACAUGUAUGUAACUGGGUCACCAUGCUGUACAGUAGAAAAAAUAUCCUAUUGGGAAAAUAUGUUUUUUUUUUAAAUCCUAAGAGUUCUUAUCGCAAGGAAAAAUUUUUUUCCUCUUUCUUUCUGUGUCUACAGGAGAUGACGGAGCUUCACUACAUUUAGUGUGGGCGUCAUUUCGGGAGGAAAGUCACUUCACUCUGCUGGACAUCUCAGUGAAAGCAGGCGAAAAGUUAGUUAAACCUCAUCGGAUAUUAAAACAUUAAAAUCUCAAAACUAUCAUUAAAUCUAAAACCAUCAAUCGUGUAUUUGCUUAGAGGGGUUUUUUCCCAUGUAUUCAUUUUUGGAUAUUUCCUUUUUCUUGUUUUUUGCCUGUGGGGUGCAGAGGACUGAUGUGGGAUCUCCAUUCCCAGGCCAGGGAUUGAAUAUGGGCCACGGAUAUGAAAGCACCAAGUCUGAACCCCUAGACCACCAGGGAACUCCCUUCUGGACACUCUUCUUGGAAAAUUAACAACUUCUACCUUUCCAUCCAAUUAGCCAGGAGGAACUGCAGAAAUGAAAGCCGUUUCUGGCUUGUUGUUAUAUUCUAGCCUUUGGGGCAACGACCAUACAUACACAUCACCAAGUAGGGAGAAAAAGUGUGUCCACGUCAGAGCACGAGAGACGGUGCAUCUGGUGGUACAGGAUGAAAUCUCAUGAGAUGAAGUCUGGAGCAAAGAGGGACAGACGAAUGGGAGGCCCUGAGCUGUGGCCACAAGCAGCAGGGAGGAGGAGGGAGGUUCUGGGAGAAAGAACCCCCAAGGCUGAGGCUGACGUCCAUCUAGAUUGUUCUCUGAGGGUGCUGUCGAAACUCAGCCUCCGUCUACCGUGGAGAUGGAGUAUUGGGAGAAGGAGGAAGAAAAUAAGUUAAAUUGCUUUGCCAGGCAAAGGGGGUCACAGCAGGCUGCUGCCCUAAAGACUGGGUCCCCCUUUGGGAGAGAUGAGGAGGGGGGGGUUUACAGUUUGGGGAGUAGAAAAUACGGCCCCAGAGAAGGUGCAGGGUGGGUGCAAGCCUGCACUCUUCUCCAGAGCUGGUGUUUAGGGUCCCCAGGACAGGUCCUGGGGGUCCUCCUCUCUGGCUGUCAUUGGUUGGGGGUUUAGUUCUGCACAAGAGCUCAAAGGCUUUGUUCUGUGUGUAUCACUUGAGGGGGAACCAGGACCUGCCCCCAGGCAGCACUGAGGUCCCCUGCCGGCUCCUCCCUGGUCUCUGCAUCCCCUCUCCCCCCUCAUCACCUGUGGGCACCUGUCCUUUGGGGCUCAGGGAAGGGCCUGGAGGCUGAAGCGUAUUCCGUCAACACAAGACAUGGGAGACACAGCGAGGCUGGUGCUUUUCCCAGUGGGGCCACAGGCCUGAGGCCCAGGCCCUCAGGAAGCAGACACUGAGUCAAGCACAGGUCAGGUACAUUGUCCGGGUUCUUCGCAAAGUCUCAUCCCUACCCUUUGGCAUCAGACAGAGAACUGCAGAGAGACAGACAAAUAUGCUACUGGGUGAAAUGCCCAACCUCAGACGCUCCGGGGCUUAACAUUCGAACCUGGAGAAGAUGUAUUACACUUUUGAAAGCUCUACCGUGAAUUCAACCAGGGAAGAGAAAACCGACCAUAUGACCCCAUAACCCCACUCCUGGACACACAUCCAGAAAAUACAGAGUCUAAAUCCAAAAGAU
rnacentral:lncRNA from 1 species